rnacentral:lncRNA from 1 species
GCCGGGGCGUCCCCCGCGGGAGCCCGCAGCCACCCGGGACGCGCAUCCAGACGUGGCGCUUCGGACCGGGCACGCUGCGCCCGGGGGCUCGGCGGACCCCGCGUAGCCGCCGCUUCGGAGCUUGUGCGGCGCGGGCUGGCCAGCGGGGCGGCCAGGGCCCGGCCCGCCUCCCCAGCGCCCGCCCGGCUUCUCCCCCUGGCGGUGGGAGCCUCGGCGGCCGCUGGCGACACUAGGCGCACUGAAGCCCGAGCCGAGCCGAGCCCGAGCCGCCGCCGCCGCCGCCGCUGCUGCGCACCGCUCCCGGGCUCCCUCCCAGCGCGCCGGCCGGGGUGUGGGGGGCGGCGGGCCGGAGGGGCGAGGGCGGGCCAGGGGGCGCACACGGGGGUUGGCGCGGAAGACAGGACCCUCAGCCUCGAGGGAGCCCCUAGGUGACCAGGCAAAAUGGCAGUUCCUUCCAGCUGGUCCUCAGAUGGGCACAUCUAUUAGCCUCUGCUCUUGUAAGAAGUUAGCUGCAGAACCCACAUGUGAAUCCUUGUAGGACUCUGGAGAAGAUCAAAUGGGAGCUUAGAUGUGGAAGCUCUUUGGAAACCAAGAAACACUCUGAAAAUGAAAAGGAUACCAACUUCAUCUCUCUUUAAGAAUACAAUAUUAGUUUAAAAGAUUGUUCAACUUAAAGCAAUCUUGUAGAGAUUGUCACCCAUGAUUGAUGCUGGGUGGAAGAGUAAACUGUUCCUGUUUCUCCAUCUUGACAGGAAGCAGAAGUUCUCCUUAGCUGAUUUUUCUUCUUGCCUUAUACUGGGUUCUUUAACACCAGAACAAAAAUAAAUAAAUAAAAGAAUCUUCCAGAAAUUCAUGAAGAGACUUCAGGUCAGGAAAGCCUGAACUUUCUCAUCCAACACCCGUUCAAGUCGGAGGAUGCUGAUUAAUUCAUGAUGGAAAGGUAUCAAUUUCACAGCCCAGACCUCUACAUUCUUGAAAUGCUCUUCUCAUGGGAGACAUUAAAUAAGCUUUGAAUUAACUGAGACCUCUGUGGAUUCUAUAACUCAAAGACCCAGGCUGACGGCUGGUGGAAUAGCUACCAUCUCAAACAUGGCGUGAUGCUGCAUCAGAGAGAAAAAUAAGCUCUUGCAUUGACAAUGAAAUGUCUACCCUGUAGUGACUUGUGCUUACUUCCACUCACAAGUGAUUGCCCAGAGCUACUUACCUGGCUCCAAUCUACCACUGGUAAGCCCUUAAGUAAAAGUGCCAUCAAAUGAUUUCUCAGAAAUUAUAAAGAAACAAAAGGACCAUAAACAAGAUAAGGUGGCAUGAGGAAACAUUACAAGUACCUUUCAGAGCUGACUGGCAAAGAAACUCCUGAGGUGACGGUUCUACCCCAAUAUUACUUCUUCGAAGAGCAACCUAACUGGACUUAUCUUCCUCAGUUCUCUGUGAUGAACUUUUGUAGAGCCAUACGAAAGGAGGUUUUUAGCUCUCACCUGUGGUCUUUCUUCAUCAUGCACCUCCUAGAUUCAAAAGUUCAGCAGGGACAUGUCAAGCUAUAUAAAUAAAAACAAACUAAGAAAAAAUGUAACAUUCCAUACCUUAAAACGCAACCUUAAUAACGUGAAAGACCCUGAAGGACUUGAGACGUGAAGAUUUUCUACCACGGUCUUUGCCUGUAUUAUUUCUGACAGCUGUUCCUUUCUACUCCCUCUUGCACACAUCUUUAGUUACUCCCUGUUCUCCAUCCCUCUGAUAAAAUCUAGAGUUCCCCCCUCAAAUUAGAAAAUUAAAAAAAAUUAAAAAUCUAAAAUUAAAAUUUAAAAAAUUUUUAAAAAUCUAGAGUUUAAAAAAAAUGUUCUAUCUCAGGCUUGUGAACCAUAUUGUUAGUUCACAAUUAAGAAUGAUGUACAUCUAUUGGACAAGUUUUAAUUAAUUCUUUCCCUUGGCUGAUUAGUAAAUUUCUGCAGUGAGUACAAAUGUU